CUGGGCUUGAACUGCCAUUGACCGGUGCAGAGAUGUGCCUUUUCGCAAGAACAGUGGCAGAGGUGCUGCAUGGCUGUCGUCAGCUCGUGUCGUGAGAUGUUGGGUUAAGUCCCGCAACGAGCGCAACCCUUACCCGUAGUUGCCAGCGCGUCAAGGCGGGAACUCUACGGGGACUGCCCGGGUUAACCGGGAGGAAGGUGGGGAUGAUGUCAAGUCCUCAUGGCCCUUAUGUCCAGGGCUACACACGUGCUACAAUGGGCGAUACAAACCGUUGCAAAGUCGCGAGAUGGAGCUAAUCGGAGAAAGUCGUCCUCAGUUCGGAUUGUAGUCUGCAACUCGACUACAUGAAGGUGGAAUCGCUAGUAAUCGUGUAUCAGAAUGAUACGGUGAAUACGUUCCC
rnacentral:rRNA from 1 species